rnacentral:rRNA from 1 species
AUUGAACGCUGGCGGCAGGCCUAACACAUGCAAGUCGAGCGGUAGCACAGAGAGCUUGCUCUCGGGUGACGAGCGGCGGACGGGUGAGUAAUGUCUGGGAAACUGCCUGAUGGAGGGGGAUAACUACUGGAAACGGUAGCUAAUACCGCAUAACGUCGCAAGACCAAAGAGGGGGACUUUCGGGCCUCUUGCCAUCAGAUGUGCCCAGAUGGGAUUAGCUAGUAGGUGGGGUAAUGGCUCACCUAGGCGACGAUCCCUAGCUGGUCUGAGAGGAUGACCAGCCACACUGGAACUGAGACACGGUCCAGACUCCUACGGGAGGCAGCAGUGGGGAAUAUUGCACAAUGGGCGCAAGCCUGAUGCAGCCAUGCCGCGUGUGUGAAGAAGGCCUUCGGGUUGUAAAGCACUUUCAGCGAGGAGGAAGGCGGUGAGGUUAAUAACCUCAUCGAUUGACGUUACUCGCAGAAGAAGCACCGGCUAACUCCGUGCCAGCCGCCGCGGUAA